rnacentral:rRNA from 1 species
AGUGAACGCUGGCGGUAGGCCUAACACAUGCGAGUCGAACGGCAGCACAGUAAGCGCUUGCUCUUACGGGUGGCGAGUGGCGGACGGGUGAGGAAUACAUCGGAAUCUACUUUUUCGUGGGGGAUAACGUAGGGAAACUUACGCUACUACCGCAUACGACCUACGGGUGAAAGCAGGGGAUCUUCGGACCUUGCGCGUUUGAUUGAGCCGAUGUCGGAUUAGCUAGUUGGCGGGGUAAAGGCCCACCAAGGCGACGAUACGUAGCUGGUCUGAGAGGAUGAUCGGCCACACUGGAACUGAGACACGGUCCAGACUCCUACGGGAGGCAGCAGUAGGGAAUAUUGGACAAUGGGCGCAAGCCUGAUCCAGCCAUACCGCGUGGGUGAAGAAGGCCUUCGGGUUGUAAAGCCCUUUUGUUGGGAAAGAAAAGCAGCAGGUUAAUACCCCGCUGUUCUGACGGUACCCAAAGAAUAAGCACCGGCUAACUUCGUG